rnacentral:rRNA from 1 species
AUUGAACGCUGGCGGCAGGCCUAACACAUGCAAGUCGAACGGUAACAGGAAGCAGCUUGCUGCUUCGCUGACGAGUGGCGGACGGGUGAGUAAUGUCUGGGAAGCUGCCUGAUGGAGGGGGAUAACUACUGGAAACGGUAGCUAAUACCGCAUAAUGUCGCAAGACCAAAGAGGGGGACCUUCGGGCCUCUUGCCAUCGGAUGUGCCCAGAUGGGAUUAGCUUGUUGGUGGGGUAACGGCUCACCAAGGCGACGAUCCCUAGCUGGUCUGAGAGGAUGACCAGCCACACUGGAACUGAGACACGGUCCAGACUCCUACGGGAGGCAGCAGUGGGGAAUAUUGCACAAUGGGCGCAAGCCUGAUGCAGCCAUGCCGCGUGUAUGAAGAAGGCCUUCGGGUUGCAAAGUACUUUCAGCGGGGAGGAAGGGAGUAAAGUUAAUACCUUUGCUCAUUGACGUUACCCGCAGAAGAGGCACCGGCUAACUCCGUG